rnacentral:rRNA from 1 species
UACGAAGGGGGCUAGCGUUGCUCGGAAUCACUGGGCGUAAAGGGUGCGUAGGCGGGUCUUUAAGUCAGGGGUGAAAUCCUGGAGCUCAACUCCAGAACUGCCUUUGAUACUGAAGAUCUUGAGUUCGGGAGAGGUGAGUGGAACUGCGAGUGUAGAGGUGAAAUUCGUAGAUAUUCGCAAGAACACCAGUGGCGAAGGCGGCUCACUGGCCCGAUACUGACGGCUGAGCA